CUCGGCCCUCCUCCUCCUCCUGCUCCUCCUCCCUCUCCCCAUCUCAGCUGCGGCUAAAACCUGGAGUCUUGGGGAAAAGGGAAAAAAAAAAAAAAAAAACCCUCGGCUGUAGAGCUGUCAAACCGGGCAUGCUCAGUA
rnacentral:sRNA from 1 species